rnacentral:tRNA from 2 species
GCCGCGGUAGCCAAGCGGACUACGGCGCCAGCCUUGAGAGCUGGUUCCCGAAAGGGAGCGGGAGUUCAAAUCUCCCCCGCGGCG